rnacentral:rRNA from 1 species
AGUGAACGCUGGCGGUAGGCCUAACACAUGCAAGUCGAACGGCAGCACAGUAAGAGCUUGCUCUUACGGGUGGCGAGUGGCGGACGGGUGAGGAAUACAUCGGAAUCUACUUUUUCGUGGGGGAUAACGUAGGGAAACUUACGCUAAUACCGCAUACGACCUAUGGGUGAAAGUAGGGGAUCUUCGGACCUUGCGCGAUUGAAUGAGCCGAUGUCGGAUUAGCGAGUUGGCGGGGUAAAGGCCCACCAAGGCGACGAUCCGUAGCUGGUCUGAGAGGAUGAUCAGCCACACUGGGACUGAGACAGAGUCCGCACUCCUACGGGAGGCAGCGGUGGGGAAUAUUGGACAAAGGGCGCAAGCCUGAUCCUGCCAUACCGCGUGGGUGAAGAAGGCCUUCGGGUUGUAAAGCCCUUUUGUUGGGUAAGAAAAGCAGCAGGUUAAUACCCCGCUGUUCUGACGGUACCCAAAGAAUAAGCACCGGCUAACUUCGUG